rnacentral:rRNA from 1 species
AUUGAACGCUGGCGGCAUGCCUUACACAUGCAAGUCGAACGGCAGCACGGGAGCAAUCCUGGUGGCGAGUGGCGAACGGGUGAGUAAAGUAUCGGAACGUGCCCAGUCGUGGGGGAUAACGUAGCGAAAGUUACGCUAAUACCGCAUACGAUCUAUGGAUGAAAGCGGGGGAUCGCAAGACCUCGCGCGAUUGGAGCGGCCGAUAUCAGAUUAGGGAGUUGGUGGGGUAAAGGCCCGCCAAGCUGACGAGCUGUAGCUGGUCUGAGAGGACGACCAGCCACACGGGGACUGAGACACGGCCCAGACUCCUACGGGAGGCAGCAGUGGGGAAUUUUGGACAAUGGGCGAAAGCCUGAUCCAGCCAUGCAGCGUGAGUGAAGAAGGCCUUCGGGUUGUAAAGCUCUUUCGGACAGAAAGAAAUCGCCAAUCCUAAUACGAGUGGUGGAUGACGGUACUGUAAGAAGAAGCACCGGCUAACUACGUGCCAGCAGCCGCCGUAAAAC